CCCCCUUAGAAUAAGAUUUUUUUUUUUUUGGGUUUUUAGGCCUGCUGAAAAAUCUCUUCUUCAUUUCAGGGAUCAUUCAAAAACUUGAAUUUUGUUUUUAUUCUUUUUGGGUGUUGGGGUUUUUUGGUUUUUUUUUUUUGAUGCACACAAAAAUCCCAGCAUUUCUUCUCAUUUCAUUUCUUCUUCUCAUUUUUAUUUCUUCCCAUUUCAUUUUUCCCAUUUUCAUUUCCUUCCAUUUUCAAUUCUUCCCAUUUCAUUUCUUCUCAUUCCUGCCCAUUUCAAUUUCUUCUCAUUCCUGCCCAUUUUCAUUCCUUCCCAUUUUCAUUUCCUCCCAUUUUCAUUUCCUCUCAUUUUUAUUUCUUCCCAUUUCAUUUUUCCCAUUUUCAUUCCUUCCCAUUUCCUUUUCUUCCCAUUUCAUUUCUUUUCAUUUCUUCCCAUUUCAUCUUUUCCAUUUCAUUUCCACCCAUUUUCAUUUCUUCCCAUUCCAUUUUUUCCCACUUUAACUUCUUCUCAUUCCUCCCAUUUUCAUUUCUUCCCAUUUGAUUUCUUCUUCUCAUUUAAUUUCUUUCCAUUUCAUUUCUUCCCAUUUUCAUUUCCUCCCAUUUUUAUUUCUUCCCUUUUUCAUUUUUCCCUUUUUCAUUUCUUCUCAUUUCAUUUUUCCCAUUUUCAUUUCCUCCCAUUUUUAUUUCUUCCCAUUUCAUUUCUUCCCAUUUUCAUUCUUCCCAUUUUCAUUUUUCCCAUUUUCAUUUUUUCCCAUUUAAUUUAUUCUUCUCAUUUCAUUUCUUCCCAUUUUCAUUUCUUCCCUGAAUUUCAUUUCUUCUCACUUUCAUCUCAUUUUCAUUUCCUCCCAUUUCAUUUAUUCUCAUUUUCAUUCCUUCCCAUUUCACUUUUUCUCAUUUUCAGCAGACACAUUGGCUUGGAUUAUUUUUGAGUGUGCGUUUUUUACAGCAGCAGAAUGGACGGGAUUUAAAACUCAGUGCUCUGAGUAUAUUAAAAAUAU
rnacentral:lncRNA from 12 species